CCAGCCCGGCCGGCCAUCCGUGCCCUCCUCCGCCUGGGCAGGCGGCUCUCCCCGCUCAGGAAGCCCCGAGCCGAGCCCUGACAGGGAGCUCAGUACCUAGCACCCGCCCUGCCUAGACGCUGGGGGAGCUGCCGGCGGGGAGCGGCCGGUGUCCCCUCAGCGAUAAACCCCUCUCGCCCCAUACGGGCCAGAGAAACCUCUCCGCGUCCCGAGGUACAAAGGGCAGGCCGGACCGACCGGCGGUGCGGGCCCCUGGGCGGCCUCCUGUCCCCUCAGGCGUUGAGGAAACGCUAAUCCCGGGCUUACCCAGCCCUGCCCUGCUUAACCGCCCGACGCUUCCCGCUCCUCCGCUUCCCCGCUCCCGCAGCAGCGGCCGUCUUGGCCAUGGCCGAAGGACAGUGAUUUUAAUGCAGUUAAAUGACUUUAAAACAUCUGUAUGAAUGACUUUGCGUGUGCUGGAAGAGUACCUGAUGGUGACAGCAGCGUCAGUGCAACCGCAAUGCCUGUCUGAUGCCCCAUGCAGCCUGAAGGUUUUGUCCUGGGAGUGUGAGGACAGUUAAUGUGGAGUUACACAGUCUGAUUCUUUUUUACAUGGUGUUCAGUAUGAAGACUGUCGUGAUCUCUAAAACAUCAAUAAACAAAUACAUAACGAAGUUGGAAUUUCAAUAAAUUGAUGCCACCAGACUGAGCAAUCUUUCUUUUUGGAGCUGGAUGUCUUGUCACACCUUACAUGAAAUGCCUUCCCCCCCCCAUAUAUGGCAAAAAUUUCCUUUUUUUUUUUCCCUGAAGGAAAAUAAACAAUAGCUAGAUGUA